GAAUCGUUAGCUCAGUUGGUUCAGAGCACUGCCUUGACAGGGCAGGGGUCGCCGGUUCGAGUCCGGCACGGUUCAC
rnacentral:tRNA from 1 species